AAUAUUGGACAAUGGACGCAAGUCUGAUCCGGCCACGCCGCGUGAGUGAUGAAGGCCUUCGGGUCGUAAAGCUCUGUGGGGAGGGACGAACCGCCGAUGGCUCAUACCCAUCGGCAUGACGGUACCUCCUUAGCAAGCACCGGCUAACUUCGUGCCAGCAGCCGCGGUAAUACGAAGGGUGCAAACGUUGCUCGGAAUCAUUGGGCGUAAAGCGCACGUAGGCGGCUAUCUAAGUCGGAUGUGAAAUCCCUCGGCUUAACCAAGGAAGUGCAUCCGAAACUGGAUAGCUUGAGUACUGAAGAGGAUCGCGGAAUUCCCGGUGUAGAGGUGAAAUUCGUAGAUAUCGGGAGGAACACCAGUGGCGAAGGCGGCGAUCUGGGCAGAUACUGACGCUGAGGUGCGAAAGCGUGGGGAGCAAAC
rnacentral:rRNA from 1 species